CCGACACCUUCUUCCCAGUGCGGCCCGGGCUGCGGCCCCGGGUCCGAGGAGGCCCGGGGAGACCCGGAGGAGGUCAGAAGGCCUUCAGGGCCCCCGGGAUGGGGUGAGGCUGAGCCCGGCCCCUUACUGCCGGCGCCUGCGAGGAAGGGAAGCCCCGCCCCAAUGCCUGCGCGCCCCCAUGAGGACCACUAGCCUCGUCGCCCCGCUGUGUGACUCCCGGGGGUCCCUGGCCCUCUCUGGGCCGAGCUGUAGUCAGGCUCACGGGCAGCCGCUCAGAGAGGUCGCCUGGGUCCGAUCCCUUCCCCAAAUGGCCCCCCGCCUCAGUUUCCCCGGCCAGGUGGAAACUGAGACCCAGAGAGCCGUGACUUGACUGAUCCCACAGCCAGGAAAUGGUGGAGCCUGGAUUUGAACCCCAGCUUCUAAGAAGAAGGUGCCACUGUCCUGGAAGAACUCUCAGGACAGCAUUAGUGUCUCAGGGAUCCCCCUAAUUGGAGGGGCCUUAAGGCAACCUAAUCAUGAUUGUCACUGAAGAUCCAGGAGGGCUUCCUGGAGGAGGAGGCAGCUCCAUUCUGAAAUGCCAAGGGUACAGCUUUAUUGGGACAGCCAGUGUCUCUGAAUAUGUAGGUUUUGCACAGAGCUUGCACUGCCCCAGGGCCUGUACACUGCCUGUCCCCUCUGCCUUGUGCACUCUUUCCCUAGAUGUCCAAAUGGCUCCUUUCCUCACCUACCCCAAAUCUCAAUUCCAAUGUUUCCCCAGCCUCCCCUCAUUUCAGUAAUCACUCUGCAGUGAGCUAGGAUUGCGCCACUGCACUCCAGCUUGGAUAAGAGAACAAGACCCUGUCUCUAAACUAAAUACAUAAAUAAAAAUAAUUCCCCUCUCCA